rnacentral:rRNA from 1 species
UAGUCCACACCGUAAACGAUGAGAGCUAGUUGUCUGCAAGCAUGCUUGUAGGUGACGCAGCUAACGCAUUAAGCUCUCCGCCUGGGGAGUACGGUCGCAAGAUUAAAACUCAAAGAAAUUGACGGGGGCCCGCACAAGCGGUGGAGCAUGUGGUUUAAUUCGAAGCAACGCGCAGAACCUUACCUACCCUUGACAUGCCGGUCGCGAUUUCCAGAGAUGGAUUUCUUCAAUUCGGUUGGACCGUGCACAGGUGCUGCAUGGCCGUCGUCAGCUCGUGUCGUGAGAUGUUGGGUUAAGUCCCGCAACGAGCGCAACCCUCACUUUUAGUUGCCAGCAUUUAGUUGGGCACUCUAGAAGAACUGCCGGUGCAAACCGAGAGGAAGGUGGGGAUGACGUCAAAUCAUCACGGCCCUUACGUCCUGGGCUACACACGUGCUACAAUGGUAACGACAGAGGGCAGCCACCCCGCGAGGGGGAGCGGAAUCCUUAAACGUUAUCUCAGUUCGG